UUUAGCUUCUGUUCUUGUAGCUAACAUAAUUGCAAUACAUAAGAACAAGCUCCUCGUCAUCAAGCAUUACAACGUCUGACUGAACAUGUUUUUAUUCAUAU